AAAAAGACAAACCCUGAGUUUCCGUGUUCAACUUUGACUGUUCGUCUUAUAUGAAAUUUUUUUAUAAUUCUUAUUUUUAUUGUUGUUAGAUGAUAAAACAUAAUUAAUAUUUUAUACGUGACUUAUCUUUUUAAUUUUUUUAAAUAACAUGGACGGUCAAACGUUGGAUACGAAAAUCAGUGUUUGCUUUUUUU
rnacentral:pre_miRNA from 1 species